rnacentral:rRNA from 1 species
UACAUGGGGUGCAAACGUUGCUCGGAAUCAUUGGGCGUAAAGCGCGCGUAGGCGGUUACUUAAGUUGGAUGUGAAAGCCCUCGGCUUAACCGAGGAAGUGCAUCCAAAACUGAGUAGCUAGAGUACGAAAGAGGGUCGCGGAAUUCCCGGUGUAGAGGUGAAAUUCGUAGAUAUCGGGAGGAACACCGGUGGCGAAGGCGGCGACCUGGGUCGAGACUGACGCUGAGGCGCGAAAGCGUGGGGAGCAAACAGGG